AACUAAGUUUGUUCUAGGUACAAGCUUUCAUGUGCAUGCACACUUCUUCAGAUACUCAGAUAUUCAGUAUUUGAAGAAGUGUGCGUGUACAUGAAAGCUUCUACCCAGAACAAACUUAGUUGG